AGUUCAGAUUGCAGGCUGNAACCCGCCUGCAUGAAGUCGGAAUUGCUAGUAAUCGCGGAUCAGCAUGCCGCGGUGAAUACGUUCCCGGGCCUUGUACACACCGCCCGUCACACCAUGGGAGCCGGUAAUACCCGAAGCCUGUGAGCUAACUUUAUGAGGCAGCAGUCGAAGGUAGAAUCAAUGAUUGGGGUGAAGUCGUAACAAGGUAGC
rnacentral:rRNA from 1 species